GACGAACGCUGGCGGCGUGCUUAACACAUGCAAGUCGAACGGAAAGGCUCCAGCUUGCUGGAGUACUCGAGUGGCGAACGGGUGAGUAACACGUGGGUAAUCCGCCCUGCACUCUGGGAUAAGCCUGGGAAACUGCGUAUAAUACAGGAUAUGACCUGUCUCCUUAUGGGGUUCGUUGGAAAGUUUUUCGGUGUAGGAUGGGCGCGCGGCCUAUCUGCUUGUUGGUGGGGUGAUGGACUACCAAGGCGACGACGGGUAGCCGACCUGGGAGGGUAAGCGGCCACAUUGGGACUACGGUACGGCCCAGACUGCAACGGGGGGCAGCGGGGGAGAGUAUUACACAGUGGGCGGGAGCGUGUUACAAAGGUGCCGGGUGCGGAAUGCCGGCUUUCGGGUGAUGAACCUCUGUCAGCAGAGACGAAGCGUAAGUGACGGUACCUGCAGAAGAAGCACCGGCUAACUACGUG
rnacentral:rRNA from 1 species